rnacentral:misc_RNA from 1 species
GUCAGAUCCAUCUCUUUGUUGCUUGCAUUUUGCCGGAAUAGUUGAAAAUAUGCUGCGUCUAAGGGCUUUUCGCCCGACAAAUGACAAGAUCGUGAAGAUUCAGAUGCACCCGACGCAUCCUUGGCUUGUAACUGCUGAUGCAUCCGAUCACGUCUCCGUUUGGAAUUGGGAACACCGACAGAUUAUUUAUGAACUGAAACCCGGUGGUGUUGAUGAGCGGCGUUUGGUUGGUGCCAAACUGGAAAAGCUUGCCGAGGGUGAAUCAGAGCCUAGAGGGAAACCUACAGAAGCCAUACGAGGUGGGAGCGUAAAGCAGGUUAGCUUUUAUGAUGAUGAUGUACGCUUUUGGCAACUCUGGCGAAAUCAGUCUGCUGCUGCCGAGUCUCCAGCAGCUGCUGGUCAUGUCACUUCAACUUUUACUUCUCCUGCUGCAUCAACCAAAGGGCGCCAUUUUCUUGUUAUUUGUUGUGAGAAUAAAGCUAUUUUUUUGGACUUGGUGACAAUGCGUGGUCGCGAUGUACCGAAGCAGGAACUUGACAACAGAUCACUUCUAUGCAUGGUGUUCCUUUCUAAAACAACUGCUGUUGAUGGUCCUCUUGUGGCUUUUGGAGGAUCAGAUGGUGUAAUUAGAGUUCUUUCAAUGAUAACA